AACGAACGCUGGCGGCAUGCCUAACACAUGCAAGUCGAACGAGACCUUCGGGUCUAGUGGCGCACGGGUGCGUAACGCGUGGGAACCUGCCCUUAGGUUCGGAAUAACUCCCCGAAAGGGGUGCUAAUACCGGAUAAUGUCUUCGGACCAAAGAUUUAUCGCCUUUGGAUGGGCCCGCGUUGGAUUAGCUAGUUGGUAGGGUAAAAGCCUACCAAGGCGCCGAUCCAUAGCUGGUCUGAGAGGAUGAUCAGCCACACUGGGACUGAGACACGGCCCAGACUCCUACGGGAGGCAGCAGUGGGGAAUAUUGGACAAUGGGCGAGAGCCUGAUCCAGCAAUGCCGCGUGAGUGAUGAAGGCCUUAGGGUUGUAAAGCUCUUUUACCCGGGAUGAUAAUGACAGUACCGGGAGAAUAAGCUCCGGCUAACUCCGUG
rnacentral:rRNA from 1 species